UACGUAGGGUGCGAGCGUUGUCCGGAAUUAUUGGGCGUAAAGAGCUCGUAGGCGGUUUGUCGCGUCUGCUGUGAAAACUCGGGGCUUAACUCCGGGCCUGCAGUGGGUACGGGCAGACUAGAGUGCGGUAGGGGAGAGCUGGAAUUCCUGGUGUAGCGGUGAAAUGCGCAGAUAUCAGGAGGAACACCGGUGGCGAAGGCGGGUCUCUGGGCCGUAACUGACGCUGAGGAGCGAAAGCGUGGGGAGCGAACAGG
rnacentral:rRNA from 1 species